GGAUGUGAGGGCGAUCUGGCUGCGACAUCUGUCACCCGAUUGAUCGCCAGGGUUGAUUUGGCUGAUCUGGCUGGCUAGGCGGGUGUCCCCGUGUCCCCUUCCUCCCUCACCGCUCCAUGUGCGUCCCUCCCGAAGCUGCGCGCUCGGUGGAAGAGGACGACGUCCCAGGUAUAGAAGGAGUGUACCGAGGUCUCCAGUCUUCGGUCCUGGGUAUACGAUAGCAUGGAAAACUGUUACCUUCCCGCCGGAGCAGUACCUAUUGACCUACUCACAUUUGCAUGUUUUCAAACUGC
rnacentral:snRNA from 11 species